GACGAACGCUGGCGGCGUGCUUAACACAUGCAAGUCGAACGGAAAGGCCCUGCUUUUGUGGGGUGCUCGAGUGGCGAACGGGUGAGUAACACGUGAGUAACCUGCCCUUGACUUUGGGAUAACUUCAGGAAACUGGGGCUAAUACCGGAUAGGAGCUCCUGCUGCAUGGUGGGGGUUGGAAAGUUUCGGCGGGUGGGGAUGGACUCGCGGCUUAUCAGCUUGUUGGUGGGGUAGUGGCUUACCAAGGCUUUGACGGGUAGCCGGCCUGGGAGGGUGACCGGCCACAUUGGGACUGAGAGACGGCCCAGACUCCUACGGGAGGCAGCAGUGGGGAAUAUUGCACAAUGGGCGGAAGCCUGAUGAAGCAACGCCGCGUGCGGGAUGACGGCCUUCGGGUUGUAAACCGCUUUCGCCUGUGACGAAGCGUGAGUGACGGUAAUGGGUAAAGAAGCACCGGCUAACUACGUG
rnacentral:rRNA from 1 species